AUUGAACGCUGGCGGCAGGCUUAACACAUGCAAGUCGAACGAGUGGCGGACGGGUGAGUAAUGCUUGGGAAUCUAGCUUAUGGAGGGGGAUAACUACGGGAAACUGUAGCUAAUACCGCGUACCAUAGGAUGAGCCCAAGUGGGAUUAGGUAGUUGGUGGGGUAAAGGCUCACCAAGCCGACGCUCUCUAGCUGGUCUGAGAGGAGAACCAGCCACCCUGGUACUGAGACACGGCCCAGACUCCUACGGAAGGAGGCAGGGGGGAAUAUCGCGCAAUGGGGACAACCUGACGCAGCCAUGCCGCGUGAAUGAAGAAGGCUUUCGGGUUGUAAAGUUUUUUCGGUAGCGCGGCGUUAACUACAGAAGAAGCACCGGCUAACUCCGUGCCAGCAGCCGCGGUAAUAC
rnacentral:rRNA from 1 species